rnacentral:lncRNA from 1 species
CUUUUACGUCGGCCUUCGCGAGCGUCUGGGCGGGUGGUAGGAACAAUGGCGCUGUCUUCAGUGGCACAGUGGAGCAGCUCUGAAGAUGCAAAGAUACACGAAAAAACUUCCAGAACAUCUGGGAGAAUAUUUAAUGGAAAAUCGCUUGGUUAAAACCUGACACUUUUAACAGUGAACAGCGUUCUGAGUGUGGACGAGUAGCCAGUGAAGAUAAUGAAUGUCGAAUGUGACUGACUAGCAGCUUCAUUUUGAAUGAGGGUCGCUGUCUGCCCAUUGAUAGAGGCCAGAUUGUCUUGGAAGUUCCAAAGUUGCAACGAUUUCUGGCUAGUGCCACGAGGUUUACUUGACUGUUGUGUGAAAAGCUGAUAAGAAAACCAUCCAGAAAAAAGCUCUUCGUUUUACAAACAUGAAAAUAAAACAUGUAAUUUUGGAUUAUGUUCCUUUUUGUUAUUACUUUUAAAUAGGUCCUGAAAUAACAUGGGGAGCAUUAAAUGGAAAAUCCACUAAAAAAAAAAAAAAAAAAA